CCUACGUGAGGCAGCAGUGAGGAAUAUUGGUCAAUGGCCGCAGGGCUGAACCAGCCAAGUCGCGUGAAGGAUGACGGCCCUAUGGGUUGUAAACUUCUUUUAUCCGGGGAUAAAAUGCGUCACGUGUGGUGCUUUGCGUGUACCUCAAGAAUAAGCACCGGCUAAGUCCGUGCCAGCAGCCGCGGUAAUACGGAGGAUCCGGGCGUUAUCCGGAUUUAUUGGGUUUAAAGGGGGCGUAGGCGGAAGGUCAAGCCGGCGGUAAAAGCCCGUGGCUCAACCCUGUCGUGCCGUGGCAACUGGCGUGCUUGAGUGAGCGGGACGUAGGUGGAAUGCGUGGUGUAGCGGUGAAAUGCAUAGAUAUCACGAAGAACUCCGAUUGCGAAGGCAGCAUACGGGAGCGCAACUGACGCUGAUGCUCGAAGGCGUGGGUAUCGAACAGGAUUAGAUACCCCUGUAGUC
rnacentral:rRNA from 1 species